rnacentral:lncRNA from 1 species
CUGAGUUUCACAGGAAUUCUGCUCGGGACUGGAUAAAGGCUCAGGCCUGAGGGUAGAACGGAGCUUCUGACUGCUUCCCUUCCUUUCUCACUUGUUUCAUCUGCAAGUGCAAGGGCAGGUGGAACUACUGCCACACCGUGAAUGGCCAUACCAAAGCGCAUUCCCAGGGCCCAGCACAUAACCAAACAGUGGGCAAGAGUCUGUGACUUUCAGCUGACCUAGAUCCGCUGCCUCGGGAUUCCUGACCUUUUUGCCUGUGGUUAGGGUAGGAACUCCUUCAGCAGGAAGUGAAGAAGAAGAGUGAGUUUAAGUGUGGUAACCCGUGCACUAGUAAAACCUGCCUCACAACCGAACUAGCCACUCAUCUUCCCAAAGAACACUGGCGGGGAGGAAGAAUGUUCCCUACCAGUGAGCUGCCGUGGAAUCCUAGAUAUGGGAGAAGGGCCCUGUCCUUCUGACCUUUAAGGAUCUCUCCUUGCCUCAAAGCCCCUGGGUUUUCAGUACGGCUGUGUCCUAGAAGGUUUAUCACAGAAGAAAACUAAGAAAAAUUAACUACGAAAAAGAAAAGAUUUAUCAAACUAACAAAAUUUCAUUUCAGAAUGCUUUAGCUUUCUGGAAAGGAAGUUGUGGUAUUUGGCAUUGUCUGUCCAAGUAUUUGCUGCCCCUCACUGGGGGAAGAUUGUAUCUUCUUAUCUCAGGGAUGUCAGAGCCAGCCACGUGACUUAAGCAAGCCAAG